UACAGAGGUCUCGAGCGUUAGGCGGAAUCACUGGGCUUAAAGCGUGUGUAGGUGGAUCGGUAAGUACCUUGUGAAAUCCCACGGCUUAACCGUGGAACUGCUUGGUAUACUGCCAGUCUUGAGCCAGCUAGGGGCUACCGGAACAAAUGGUGGAGCAGUGAAAUGCGUAGAUAUCAUUUGGAACGCCAAUGGUGAAAACAGGUAGCUGGGGCUGUGCUGACACUGAGACACGAAAGCCAGGGGAGCAAACGGG
rnacentral:rRNA from 1 species